rnacentral:rRNA from 1 species
GACGAACGCUGGCGGCGUGCUUAACACAUGCAAGUCGAACGGAAAGGCCCUGCUUUUGUGGGGUGCUCGAGUGGCGAACGGGUGAGUAACACGUGAGUAACCUGCCCUUGACUUUGGGAUAACUUCAGGAAACUGGGGCUAAUACCGGAUAGGAGCUCCUGCUGCAUGGUGGGGGUUGGAAAGUUUCGGCGGUUGGGGAUGGUCUCGCGGCUUAUCAGCUUUUUGGUGGGGUAGUGGCUUACCAAGGCUUUGACGGGUAGCCGGCCUGAGAGGGUGACCGGCCACAGUGGGACUGAGAUGCGGCCCAGACUCCUACGGGAGGCAGGAGUGGGGAAUAGUGCACAAUGGGCGGAAGACUGAUGCAGCGACGCCGCGUGCGGGAUAACGGCCUUCGGGUUGUAAACCGCUUUCGCCUGUGACGAAGCGUGAGUGACGGUAAUGGGUAAAGAAACACCGGCUAACUACGU